rnacentral:rRNA from 1 species
AUUGAACGCUGGCGGCAGGCUUAACACAUGCAAGUCGAGCGGAGCGAGGGUGCUUGCACCUUAGCUUAGCGGCGGACGGGUGAGUAAUGCUUAGGAGUCUGCCUAUUAGUGGGGGACAACAUUCCGAAAGGAAUGCUAAUACCGCAUACGCCCUACGGGGGAAAGCAGGGGAUCUUCGGACCUCGCGCUAAUAGAUGAGCCUAAGUCGGAUUAGCUAGUUGGUGGGGUAAAGGCCUACCAAGGCGACGAUCUGUAGCGGGUCUGAGAGGAUGAUCCGCCACACUGGGACUGAGACACGGCCCAGACUCCUACGGGAGGCAGCAGUGGGGAAUAUUGGACAAUGGGCGGAAGCCUGAUCCAGCCAUGCCGCGUGUGUGAAGAAGGCCUUUUGGUUGUAAAGCACUUUAAGCGAGGAGGAGGCUACUAGUAUUAAUACUACUGGAUAGUGGACGUUACUCGCAGAAUAAGCACCGGCUAACUCUGUGCCAGCCGCCGCCGUAAAAC